rnacentral:rRNA from 1 species
AUUGAACGCUGGCGGCAGGCCUAACACAUGCAAGUCGAGCGGAUGAGUGGAGCUUGCUCCAUGAUUCAGCGGCGGACGGGUGAGUAAUGCCUAGGAAUCUGCCUGGUAGUGGGGGACAACGUUUCGAAAGGAACGCUAAUACCGCAUACGUCCUACGGGAGAAAGUGGGGGAUCUUCGGACCUCACGCUAUCAGAUGAGCCUAGGUCGGAUUAGCUAGUUGGUGAGGUAAAGGCUCACCAAGGCGACGAUCCGUAACUGGUCUGAGAGGAUGAUUAGUCACACUGGAACUGAGACACGGUCCAGACUCCUACGGGAGGCAGCAGUGGGGAAUAUUGGACAAUGGGCGAAAGCCUGAUCCAGCCAUGCCGCGUGUGUGAAGAAGGUCUUCGGAUUGUAAAGCACUUUAAGUUGGGAGGAAGGGCAGUAAGUUAAUACCUUGCUGUUUUGACGUUACCAACAGAAUAAGCACCGGCCAACUUCGUGCCAGCAGCCGCAGUAACAC